CCUGUGCUGUCACGAGCAUUCUUCCAUGCUUCAAUCCCCACCAUUCCAGGAUCAUCAGUUAAUCCAUCCACUACACCUUCAGAACCAUCUUUACCAGCUGCAAUGUGUAGAGGCGUCAAACCUGCAGGUCCUUUAACAUCCGGUCUAAACAAGUUGUCCUCAUGGCUUCCACCAAUCAGCAACUUGUUUUCAGGUCCUGAUUUCCCAGGAACAUAUCUUAAAAGAAGCUCCACUAG
rnacentral:misc_RNA from 1 species